CACCGACCAGUCCUCAGCCGGCAACAUGAAGCUGGGUGGCCUCUGCCUCCUGCUCCUCCUCGCCGUCCUUCUCACCCUCAAUGCAGAGUUCCAAGCAGUUGGUAUUUGUGUGAUGGAGUGCUACGUAGACCAGGACUGCAAGGAGGGAGAAGAAUGCCUCAGUGAUGGGUGUGGCCGUGGCUGCUACCCAGUCCUGCACACAGGGUUGAAAUGAUAAAGUCAGUCCACCAAUGGACAUAAUGGCUAAUGUUUAAGAGCUUAUGGCCAUCUUCUUAAACAAGAGGAUGCAUGAAAACCCUUCAUUUUUAAUAUUAAAUAUUAACAAGGAAGAUGCAAAAAGGAAUCCCAAGAAGAGGAAAAACAUAAAAAAUAAACUGACUACCUGUGCCUAUCUGCUCCUCGCCCCAUGUUCCCUGGAUUGUCGCUUCUCCUCGAGCCCCACCUGUCUCUAAGAAAGAGGGAGUGAUACUGACAUUACAUCAGAGUGGCACCACUGCCUGUGCAUCUCACCAUGAUCACCAGCAAAUCUGUGCCGGAUCUGGAGAGAAAGAAGAGAAGCAGUGGGCAGUGAGGUAUCUGCCUUCACCAUGAGGAAGUGACAAUCCAGGACCCAAGAAACGCUAUGUCAAUCUUUUUCACCCUGGGAAGGGGCCAGCAAGAAAUUGAUGGAGCUGUCAGUGCUCCGGACUACAGGGUAGGGCACAAGACAACCAAGGGAACGAGCGUUUCUUCUGUACCUGGAAUUUGUGUUUUGAAUUUCUGCCUCUGUCAUGUUCUCAGUCCCUAGCUCCAUCUUAAGGAAAUGUAGCUAUUGGAAGAGUGACCCUUUGGUGCCUCUCUUUUCGGGGAACUUGCUCUGGUCCACAGAGACAUUUCCCAGCAAGACACCACCUUCUGGACAGCACCCAAAGGGUGGGGCUCCUUGGGAGAACUGAGGGCAUCUGCCAUUGGCUCAACCUAGGAGCCAUCUGGACCUGACAUGUGCAUCUUGCUAAUGAUUGCAUUAGAUCUCAAUUUACCUAACUGAAAAUAGGUCCUAGUCCUCUUCUGCCUCAGAGAUCCUGACACUAGGAUAGAUAGAAUGUCUUGGGAAAUAGCUCAGAGCAUUGUGAGGAGUUCCUGUUGUGGCUCAGUAGGUUAAGAACCGGCAUAGUGUCUGUGAGGAUGUGGGUUCGAUCCUGGCCUCGCUCAAUGGGUUAAGGAUCUGGCAUUGUCGAAAGCUGUGGCGUAGGUUGCAGGUACAGCUCAGAUCCUGCAUUGUUGUGGCUGUGGCUGCAGCUGCAAUUCAAUUCCUAGUCCCAGGAGCUUCCAUAUGCUCCAGGUGCGGCCCUAUAAAGAAAAGAAUAAUAAUAUAUAAAAAUUGCACAC
rnacentral:lncRNA from 1 species